rnacentral:rRNA from 1 species
UACGUAGGUGGCAAGCGUUGUCCGGAUUUACUGGGCGUAAAGGGCGUGCAGGCGGUUUGUUAAGUCUAGGGUGAAAGCUCCCGGCUCAACUGGGAGAGGUCCUUGGAUACUGGCAGACUUGAGGAGGGUAGAGGAGAGUGGAAUUCCCGGUGUAGUGGUGAUAUGCGUAGAUAUCGGGAGGAACACCAGUGGCGAAGGCGGCUCUCUGGGCCAUACCUGACGCUGAGACGCGAAAGCGUGGGGAGCGAACCGG